CCUACGUGUGGCAGCAGUGGGGAAUAUUGGGCAAUGGGCGCAAGCCUGACCCAGCAACGCCGCGUGAAGGAAGAAGGCCUUCGGGUUGUAAACUUCUUUUCUCAGGGACGAAGCAAGUGACGGUACCUGAGGAAUAAGCCACGGCUAACGACGUGCCAGCAGCCGCGGUAAUACGUAGGUGGCAAGCGUGAUCCGGAUUUACUGGGUGUAAAGGGCGUGUAGGCGGGACUGCAAGUCAGAUGUGAAAACCAUGGGCUCAACCUAUGGCCUGCAUUUGACACUGUAGUUCUUGAGUGCUGGAGAGGCAGGCGGAAUUCCUGGUGUAGCGGUGAAAUGCGUAGAUAUUAGGAGGAACACCAGUGGCGAAGGCGGUCUGCUGGACAGCAACUGACGCUGAGGCGCGAAAGCGUGGGGAGCAAACAGGAUUAGAUACCCUUGUAGUC
rnacentral:rRNA from 1 species